AGAGUUUGAUCAUGGCUCAGAGCGAACGCUGGCGGCGUGCUUAACACAUGCAAGUCGAGUGCGCGCCUGUAGCAAUACAGGUGGCGCACGGCGCACGGGUGCGUAACACGUGGGUAAUCUGCCCUUCGAUGGGGAAUAACUCCGGGAAACCGAAGCUAAUUCCGCAUAACAUUCCUUGAACCUCGGUUUGGGGACUCAAAGCCGUAAGGCGUCGGAGGAGGAACCCGCGCACGAUUAGCUAGUUGGUAGGGUAACGGCCUACCAAGGCUUUGAUCGUUAGCUGGUCUGAGAGGAUGGCCAGCCACACUGGAACUGAGACACGGUCCAGACUCCUACGGGAGGCAGCAGUGGGGAAUCUUGCACAAUGGGCGAAAGCCUGAUGCAGCGACGCCGCGUGGGGGAUGAAGCUUUUCGGAGUGUAAACCCCUUUCGACCCGGACGAAUGUCCCGCAAGGGAACUGACGGUACGGGUAUAAGAAGCCCCGGCUAACUACGUGCCAGCAGCCGCGGUAAGACGUGGGGGGCCAGCGUUGCUCGGAAUUACUGGGUGUAAAGGGUUCGUAGGCGGUGUAGCAAGUCGGGAGUGAAAUCUCUGGGCUCAACCCAGAGACUGCUUCCGAAACUGCUGUGCUUGAGUGUGGGAGAGGCGCGUGGAAUUGCAGGUGUAGCGGUGAAAUGCGUAGAUAUCUGCAGGAACACCCGUGGCGAAAGCGGCGCGCUGGACCACUACUGACGCUGAGGAACGAAAGCUAGGGGAGCAAACAGGAUUAGAUACCCUGGUAGUCCUAGCCCUAAACGAUCAGGACUUGGGGUGCCGCACGUUCGUGCGUCGUCCCGGAGCUAACGCGUUAAGUCCUGCACCUGGGGAGUACGGUCGCAAGACUGAAACUCAAAGGAAUUGACGGGGGCCCGCACAAGCGGUGGAACAUGUGGUUCAAUUCGACGCUACGCGAGGAACCUUACCUGGGCCUCGAAGCCCCACUUGACUAGCUUUAGAAAAAUGGC
rnacentral:rRNA from 1 species